UACGUAGGGUCCGAGCGUUGUCCGGAAUUAUUGGGCGUAAAGGGCUCGUAGGCGGUCUGUUGCGUCGGGAGUGAAAACUUACAGUUUAACUGUGAGCGUGCUUCCGAUACGGGCAGACUUGAGGUAUUCAGGGGAGAACGGAAUUCCUGGUGUAGCGGUGAAAUGCGCAGAUAUCAGGAGGAACACCGGUGGCGAAGGCGGUUCUCUGGGAAUAUCCUGACGCUGAGGAGCGAAAGUGUGGGGAGCGAACAGG
rnacentral:rRNA from 1 species